CAAUAGCGUAUAUUAAAGUUGUUGCAGUUAAAAAGCUCGUAGUUGGAUUUCUGGUGGGAGCGAUCGGUCUGGCGCUUAGCGCGAGUACUUGCAUCGUCUCCGGCCAUCCUUGGGGAGAGUCUGUCUGGCAUUAGGUUGUCGGGCAGAGGAUCCUCAUCGUUUACUGUGAAAAAACUAGAGUGUUCAAAGCAGGCUUAUGCCGUUGAAUAUAUUAGCAUGGAAUAAUAAGAUAGGACUUUGGUACUAUUUUGUUGGUUUGCGCACCAAAGUAAUGAUUAAUAGGGACAGUUGGGGGUAUUCGUAUUCCGUUGUCAGAGGUGAAAUUCUUGGAUUUACGGAAGACGAACUACUGCGAAAGCAUUUACCAAGGAUGUUUUCAUUAA
rnacentral:rRNA from 1 species